rnacentral:rRNA from 1 species
GUAGGUGGCAAGCGUUGUCCGGAAUUAUUGGGCGUAAAGCGCGCGCAGGCGGUCCUUUAAGUCUGAUGUGAAAGCCCACGGCUCAACCGUGGAGGGUCAUUGGAAACUGGGGGACUUGAGUACAAAAGAGGAAAGCGGAAUUCCAAGUGUAGCGGUGAAAUGCGUAGAGAUUUGGAGGAACACCAGUGGCGAAGGCGGCUUUCUGGUCUGUAACUGACGCUGAGGCGCGAAAGCGUGGGGAGCAAACAGGAUUAGAUACCCUGGUAGUCCACGCCGUAAACGAUGAGUGCUAAGUGUUAGGGGGUUUCCGCCCCUUAGUGCUGCAGCUAACGCAUUAAGCACUCCGCCUGGGGAGUACGGCCGCAAGGCUG